AAUGAACGCUGGCGGCAGGCCUAAAACAUGCAAGUCGAACGCCCUAGCAAUAGGGAGUGGCGCACGGGUGAGUAACACGUGGGAAUAUGCCUUUUGGUACGGAACAACGUCGGGAAACGGACGCUAAUGCCGUAUGGUCCCUUCGGGGUAAAGAUUUAUCGCCAAAAGAUUAGCCCGCGUCUGAUGAGCUAGUUGGUGAGGUAAUGGCGCACCAAGGCGACGAUCAGUAGAUGGUCUGAGAGGACGAUCAGCCACACUGGGACUGAGACACGGCCCAGACUCCUACGGGAGGCAGCAGUUAGGAAUAUUGGACAAUGGACGCAAGUCUGAUCCAGCCAGGCCGCGUGAGUGAUGAAGGCCUUCGGGUUGUAAAGCUCUUUAGUCCACGAUUAUAAUGACUGUAGUGGAAGAAUAAGCCCCGGCUAACUUCGUGCCAGCCGCCGCGGUAAUAC
rnacentral:rRNA from 1 species